GUAGGUGGCAAGCGUUGCCCGGAAUUAUUGGGCGUAAAGCGCGCGCAGGCGGUUCUUUAAGUCUGAUGUGAAAGCCCACGGCUCAACCGUGGAGGGUCAUUGGAAACUGGAGAACUUGAGUACAGAAGAGGAAAGCGGAAUUCCACGUGUAGCGGUGAAAUGCGUAGAGAUGUGGAGGAACACCAGUGGCGAAGGCGGCUUUCUGGUCUGUAACUGACGCUGAGGCGCGAAAGCGUGGGGAGCAAACAGGAUUAGAUACCCUGGUAGUCCACGCCGUAAACGAUGAGUGCUAAGUGUUAGGGGGGUUUCCGCCCCCCUUAGUGCUGCAGCUAACGCAUUAAGCACUCCGCCUGGGAGUACGGCCGCAAGGCUG
rnacentral:rRNA from 1 species